rnacentral:rRNA from 1 species
GGGUUGUGAGGUUAAGCGACUAAGCGUACACGGUGGAUGCCCUGGCAGUCAGAGGCGAUGAAGGACGUGCUAAUCUGCGAUAAGCGUCGGUAAGGUGAUAUGAACCGUUAUAACCGGCGAUUUCCGAAUGGGGAAACCCAGUGUGAUUCGUCACACUAUCAUUAACUGAAUCCAUAGGUUAAUGAGGCGAACCGGGGGAACUGAAACAUCUAAGUACCCCGAGGAAAAGAAAUCAACCGAGAUUCCCCCAGUAGCGGCGAGCGAACGGGGAGGAGCCCAGAGCCUGAAUCAGUGUGUGUGUUAGUGGAAGCGUCUGGAAAGGCGCGCGAUACAGGGUGACAGCCCCGUACACAAAAAUGCACAUACUGUGAGCUCGAUGAGUAGGGCGGGACACGUGGUAUCCUGUCUGAAUAUGGGGGGACCAUCCUCCAAGGCUAAAUACUCCUGACUGACCGAUAGUGAACCAGUACCGUGAGGGAAAGGCGAAAAGAACCCCGGCGAGGGGAGUGAAAAAGAACCUGAAACCGUGUACGUACAAGCAGUGGGAGCCUCUUUUAUGGGGUGACUGCGUACCUUUUGUAUAAUGGGUCAGCGACUUAUAUUCUGUAGCAAGGUUAACCGAAUAGGGGAGCCGAAGGGAAACCGAGUCUUAACUGGGCGUUAAGUUGCAGGGUAUAGACCCGAAACCCGGUGAUCUAGCCAUGGGCAGGUUGAAGGUUGGGUAACACUAACUGGAGGACCGAACCGACUAAUGUUGAAAAAUUAGCGGAUGACUUGUGGCUGGGGGUGAAAGGCCAAUCAAACCGGGAGAUAGCUGGUUCUCCCCGAAAGCUAUUUAGGUAGCGCCUCGUGAAUUCAUCUCCGGGGGUAGAGCACUGUUUCGGCAAGGGGGUCAUCCCGACUUACCAACCCGAUGCAAACUGCGAAUACCGGAGAAUGUUAUCACGGGAGACACACGGCGGGUGCUAACGUCCGUCGUGAAGAGGGAAACAACCCAGACCGCCAGCUAAGGUCCCAAAGUCAUGGUUAAGUGGGAAACGAUGUGGGAAGGCCCAGACAGCCAGGAUGUUGGCUUAGAAGCAGCCAUCAUUUAAAGAAAGCGUAAUAGCUCACUGGUCGAGUCGGCCUGCGCGGAAGAUGUAACGGGGCUAAACCAUGCACCGAAGCUGCGGCAGCGACACUAUGUGUUGUUGGGUAGGGGAGCGUUCUGUAAGCCUGCGAAGGUGUACUGUGAGGUAUGCUGGAGGUAUCAGAAGUGCGAAUGCUGACAUAAGUAACGAUAAAGCGGGUGAAAAGCCCGCUCGCCGGAAGACCAAGGGUUCCUGUCCAACGUUAAUCGGGGCAGGGUGAGUCGACCCCUAAGGCGAGGCCGAAAGGCGUAGUCGAUGGGAAACAGGUUAAUAUUCCUGUACUUGGUGUUACUGCGAAGGGGGGACGGAGAAGGCUAUGUUGGCCGGGCGACGGUUGUCCCGGUUUAAGCGUGUAGGCUGGUUUUCCAGGCAAAUCCGGAAAAUCAAGGCUGAGGCGUGAUGACGAGGCACUACGGUGCUGAAGCAACAAAUGCCCUGCUUCCAGGAAAAGCCUCUAAGCAUCAGGUAACAUCAAAUCGUACCCCAAACCGACACAGGUGGUCAGGUAGAGAAUACCAAGGCGCUUGAGAGAACUCGGGUGAAGGAACUAGGCAAAAUGGUGCCGUAACUUCGGGAGAAGGCACGCUGAUAUGUAGGUGAAGCGACUUGCUCGUGGAGCUGAAAUCAGUCGAAGAUACCAGCUGGCUGCAACUGUUUAUUAAAAACACAGCACUGUGCAAACACGAAAGUGGACGUAUACGGUGUGACGCCUGCCCGGUGCCGGAAGGUUAAUUGAUGGGGUUAGCGGUAACGCGAAGCUCUUGAUCGAAGCCCCGGUAAACGGCGGCCGUAACUAUAACGGUCCUAAGGUAGCGAAAUUCCUUGUCGGGUAAGUUCCGACCUGCACGAAUGGCGUAAUGAUGGCCAGGCUGUCUCCACCCGAGACUCAGUGAAAUUGAACUCGCUGUGAAGAUGCAGUGUACCCGCGGCAAGACGGAAAGACCCCGUGAACCUUUACUAUAGCUUGACACUGAACAUUGAGCCUUGAUGUGUAGGAUAGGUGGGAGGCUUUGAAGUGUGGACGCCAGUCUGCAUGGAGCCGGCCUUGAAAUACCACCCUUUAAUGUUUGAUGUUCUAACGUUGGCCCCUGACCGGGGUUGCGGACAGUGUCUGGUGGGUAGUUUGACUGGGGCGGUCUCCUCCUAAAGAGUAACGGAGGAGCACGAAGGUUGGCUAAUCCUGGUCGGACAUCAGGAGGUUAGUGCAAUGGCAUAAGCCAGCUUGACUGCGAGCGUGACGGCGCGAGCAGGUGCGAAAGCAGGUCAUAGUGAUCCGGUGGUUCUGAAUGGAAGGGCCAUCGCUCAACGGAUAAAAGGUACUCCGGGGAUAACAGGCUGAUACCGCCCAAGAGUUCAUAUCGACGGCGGUGUUUGGCACCUCGAUGUCGGCUCAUCACAUCCUGGGGCUGAAGUAGGUCCCAAGGGUAUGGCUGUUCGCCAUUUAAAGUGGUACGCGAGCUGGGUUUAGAACGUCGUGAGACAGUUCGGUCCCUAUCUGCCGUGGGCGCUGGAGAACUGAGGGGGGCUGCUCCUAGUACGAGAGGACCGGAGUGGACGCAUCACUGGUGUUCGGGUUGUCAUGCCAAUGGCACUGCCCGGUAGCUAAAUGCGGAAGAGAUAAGUGCUGAAAGCAUCUAAGCACGAAACUUGCCCCGAGAUGAGUUCUCCCUGACUCCUUGAGAGUCCUGAAGGAACGUUGAAGACGACGACGUUGAUAGGCCGGGUGUGUAAGCGCAGCGAUGCGUUGAGCUAACCGGUACUAAUGAACCGUGAGGCUUAACCUUACAACGCCGAAG